rnacentral:rRNA from 1 species
GGUUAAGCGACUAAGCGUACACGGUGGAUGCCCUGGCAGUCAGAGGCGAUGAAGGACGUGCUAAUCUGCGAUAAGCGUCGGUAAGGUGACAUGAACCGUUAUAACCGGCGAUUUCCGAAUGGGGAAACCCAGUGUGUUUCG